UACGAAGGGGGCUAGCGUUGUUCGGAUUUACUGGGCGUAAAGCGCACGUAGGCGGAUCUUUAAGUCAGAGGUGAAAUCCCAAGGCUCAACCUUGGAACUGCCUUUGAUACUGGGGAUCUUGAGUCCGGGAGAGGUGAGUGGAGCUGCGAGUGUAGAGGUGAAAUUCGUAGAUAUUCGCAAGAACACCAGUGGCGAAGGCGGCUCACUGGCCCGGUACUGACGCUGAAGCACGAAAGCGUGGGGAGCAAACAGG
rnacentral:rRNA from 1 species